rnacentral:rRNA from 1 species
AACCUCCGCAAUGUGAGAAAUCGCGACGGGGGGAUCCCAAGUGCCAUUCUUAACGGGAUGGCUUUUCAUUAGUGUAAAGAGCUUUUGGAAUAAGGGCUGGGCAAGACCGGUGCCAGCCGCCGCGGUAACACCGGCAGCUCUAGUGGUAGCAGUUUUUAUUGGGCCUAAAGCGCCCGUAGCCGGUUUAAUAAGUCUCUGGUGAAAUCCUGUAGCUUAACUGUGGGAAUUGCUGGAGAUACUAUUAGACUUGAGACCGGGAGAGGUUAGAGGUACUCCCAGGGUAGAGGUGAAAUUCUGUAAUCCUGGGAGGACCGCCUGUUGCGAAGGCGUCUAACUGGAACGGUUCUGACGGUGAGGGACGAAAGUUAGGGGCGCGAACCGGAUUAGAUACCCGGGUAGUCCUAACUGUAAACGAUGCGGACUUGGUGUUGGGGUGGCUUUGAGCUGCUCCAGUGCCGAAGGGAAGCUGUUAAGUCCGCCGCCUGGGAAGUACGGUCGCAAGACUGAAACUUAAAGGAAUU